CUUGUUUGAAGAUCUUGUUUGAAGAUCUUGUUUGAAGAGGCUGUUCAAGAGUGGCAGGCGCUAAAUUGCAGGAGAAAAAGAUGAAGUGCAUUGUUUCAAGAUUGGAGGACAGGGAUAUCACAGAUUCCUGAAAACAUCACUUGACAAUUAGGAUCCACUUCUAUAAUCUCAACUGGAAACCUGCUGUGAAUAAGAGCUGGAGAUGCAUCAAUGUUACCUGGCAGUGGGACCAACAGCAGAACUGAAAUUGGUGUCUGUUGGAACUAAAAGCUUUUCAUCCUCCAUGGUUUCAAGAAAGAUAAGAUGGCGAGAUGCGCAUUAAAACAUGGCGUGUGUUGUAUCUGUCUAUACACGGCGGUUCAAUUCUGAGGGAGGCAGAGCUGAAGGAGCAAAUGUUUCUGUUUCAGCCACCAGACCACCGAUAUUGUAUAGCUGGUAGAGCGCCGUAACUUCUCUCAUAAACAAGCUGGGCAUGGGAAUGGACAUGGAUCACCCACCAAGACUUGCUGGGCCAGAAGAUUCUGCACGCAUUUCAACAACUGUGCAUUUCAUUGGGAUCGGCUUAGCGUGGUAGGGCCUCUUCCAUUCUUACUGGAAAAGACAUCUAUAAUCUAUGGUUGGUGAUCAAGGGAAUCUGCAAUAUCUUCGCUUGAACAAAUCUAAUCAGGCUAUUACAAAGAUUAAAUCUCGAUUCCUGCCCAAAUAAUGAACAAGUCUGCUCAACAUCAAAUCACCUCAGACGGCAGACUCGGCUGAUUAACUGGAGAUGGUGUUUAGUAUUUCAAGGCAUCUUGUGAUGAAAAACAGUAGGAGCUCCCUGUGUGGAAUGAAGCUCCUCCAUCUGAUGGCACUAGAAAAAGAGAACAGCUACCACACCAUCCUCCUGGUAAUCAAGCCAAGAUCAGUGCUGUGGGUUGCAACUCCAACACCACUAACAAGAUUUCACUGUGAUCAGUUGACCGCAGCAAAAUCGGCAUGGAGAAAAUGAUGAAGGAAUCAACAAUGUCGUUGCAAGGACAAGCAAUCUUAGAAUACAAGCACCUCAGUGGGAAAACCACUUGUAAUGGAAGCUGGUAGAGCGCCGUGACAUCUCUCAUAAACAAGCUGGGUUAUGGACAAGGAUCACGUCAACCAAGUUCAAAUGUCUUGAACACGAUAGGGCCCCUUCCAUUCUGAUUGGAAAAGACAUCGAUCAUCUAUGGUUUGGUUCACCAGUUACAUCCUCGGAUAAUACAGGACAUGCAGGACAUUGUAAACAUGAAGAAUAUCAAGAAAAACAUGGAGAAUAUCGAGAAGAACUGUGUAUCACCGAAAAUACCUGAAGAUUAAUUUUUUCAGCUAAAAAUGACUUUGUAGGCCUAAAGGUUUAGAAGUUACCUAAAUUCCUCAGGACUAUGGUUUACUCCUAAGGUAGCCUGGAAAACAGUUCAUCCUGGAUGCAGAGAAAGACUGUAGUUAGAUUACUUUUUAUUGAGUUUUCACUUGUUUUACCUCCCAUCUCAUGGGCAGAAAGAACAGUACCGGUAGUGUUGGUUUUCACUGUUCAAGGAUACAAACGCAGAUGUGAAUCAACAGUGAAGGUCCUUCUGAAGUGAGGAACCAAUGUCUUGGUAUUGCAGCCACUGUAGCUUAGGUAGAAUAGUGACCUACAUGUAGUUGUUUUCAGUUUUUUAAAUCCAUGGGGUUAGUGGCAUUAACCUUGAGUCCGUUCAACUGGGUCCACUGAAUGUGAUAAGAUAAUUAACACUGAUUUAUAAAUGACAGUGGCAGUGUUCAAGUCUUGCCUGCCUCGAUGACAUAUCUGCAUACCAGUAGUUAUGUGCAGACUUGGCUUUUUCUUUGGAGCAGUACAGUUGCAAGAUAAAUCCUGUUUGUAAUUUUAUAAAUUAGGUGCUCAUUAAGGGCUUAAGAAUUAGUUUUGAUGCCUUGCUGGCAUAUCUGCAUACCAGUAAAUAUGUGCAGAUUCAUUUCUUGCUUUGAAGCAAUAUUGUUGCUACACUCCUAAAGCAGUGGCAAUGUUCAGGUCUGUUCUGCCUCGCGGGCAAAUCUGCAUACCAGUAAUUAUGUGCAGACUUGGCUCUUCCAGAGAUUGCAGGACUGGGUCCAUUGAAUGUAACAAAAAUAAUCGAUGCCUAUUUACAAAUGAAAUGAAGAGUCUGCAUUUUGAUGCAACUCCAUAUAACUGUCAGGUGAUUUCGCUCUGAACUUGUGACACUCUGAUCGGUCUGAAAUAAUCAUUAUCCUGCCCCUCUGGGAAAAAUUUGCAGCCAGAUUGCACCAUUUCCUGUUACUGUCUGAGAGAUGGCAAUGUCGGGGGUGCAUGACGGUGGUAUAAACCUAUUGCGAAUGGGCAGCACAAUUGGGUGUAGGAUAUUCAUAAACCAUUGCACACUCCUGAAUCUGCGGUGGGUUGGUACCCCACGCUACGUAAGGAGUAGGUUUGUGGGUAAGACUUGGUCCACGUGAAUGGGUCGUGCCUUAAAAAUGAUGAGAAGUUGCGAAUUGACGCCCUGUGAAGUGUCCUUCGACCAGCUAGUGCUAAUCCGGUCACUGUCUCCAGGUCACCAUGCCUCGGUCAAUGAGCGGGCGAAGCACCCAAUGGCUCCGUCAGGAGUACAUCGUCAACUUCAGCCCGUAGACAAACCGGUACGCGCACAAAUAUCUUAGCUGAGAGUGGGGGACAUCAGUAAAGUGCUUCUCAUCGGGGUAAUACAGUACCACUGUAUACAAUGACCCCAUUUUUUGUUGGAUUCAUUUCCACUGAGGAGUGGUCGAUAAUGAGAGUUUCGGGCCAGUCUGAUUGUCACCAGUCCAGAGGGAAAAUACCUGAUAGUUAUGUGGCUUUCCCUCAAACUGUAUACUCUUUCAUGUCAAUUGUAAAUUAGUGUUGCUCGGUAGUGUUCAGGGUCUUUUUGUCGAACAGGCACAUCUGCAUACCAGUAAUUAUGUGCAGACUUAAGUUUUGCUUUGAAGCAAUAUCACUGCUACACUUGUGAAGCAGUGGCAGUGUUCAAGUCUUGCCUGCCUCGAUGACAUAUCUGCAUACCAGUAGUUAUGUGCAGACUUGGCUUUUUCUUUGGAGCAGUACAGUUGCAAGAUAAAUCCUGUUUGUAAUUUUAUAAAUUAGGUGCUCAUUAAGGGCUUACGAAGGUUUUGAUGCCUUGCUGGCAUAUCUGCAUACCAGUAAAUAUGUGCAGAUUCAUUAAUUGCUGUGAAGCAAUAUUGUUGCUACACUCCUAAAGCAGUGGCAAUAUUCAGGUCUGUUCUGCCUCGCGGGCAAAUCUGCAUACCAGUAAUUAUGUGCAGACUUGGCUCUUCCAGAGAUUGUAUGACUGGUUCCAUUGAAUGUA